GAUGAACGCUGGCGGCGUGCUUAACACAUGCAAGUCGAACGGAAAGGCUCCUGCUUGCAGGGGUACUCGAGUGGCGAACGGGUGAGUAACACGUGGGUGAUCUGCCCUGCACUUCGGGAUAAGCCUGGGAAACUGGGUCUAAUACCGGAUAGGACGAUGGUUUGGAUGCCAUUGUGGAAAGUUUUUUCGGUGUGGGAUGAGCUCGCGGCCUAUCAGCUUGUUGGCGGGGUAAUGGCCUACCAAGGCGUCGACGGGUAGCCGGCCUGAGAGGGUGUACGGCCACAUUGGGACUGAGAUACGGCCCAGACUCCUACGGGAGGCAGCAGUGGGGAAUAUUGCACAAUGGGCGCAAGCCUGAUGCAGCGACGCCGCGUGGGGGAUGACGGCCUUCGGGUUGUAAACUCCUUUCGCUAGGGACGAAGCGCAAGUGACGGUACCUGGAGAAGAAGCACCGGCUAACUACGUG
rnacentral:rRNA from 1 species